UAUGACACCUGAUGCAGAAUGAUAUUCUCUCAGUGUGGAAUAUCCUUUGCUCGGUGGAAUAUC
rnacentral:pre_miRNA from 1 species